UGUGUAGGCGGACUUUUAAGUCAGUGGUGAAAUCCCGAGGCUCAACCUCGGAACUGCCAUUGAUACUGGAAGUCUUGAAUUUGGUUGAAGUGGGCGGAAUGUAGCAUGUAGCGGUGAAAUGCUUAGAUAUGCUACAGAACACCGAUCGCGAAGGCAGCUCACUAAGCCGAUAUUGACGCUCAGGCACGAAAGCGUGGGGAGCAAACAGGAUUAGAUACCCUGGUAGUCC
rnacentral:rRNA from 1 species